rfam:Gossypium raimondii Chr04_contig_1282, whole genome shotgun sequence.
UAUUAAAUAUUUCAUUUAUUUGUACUAUUAAAAACUAACAUGAUUGACGAAAUAUCCAAACAAUGACACGUGGCAUGCCAUAUGUAUCUCAUGUUGAUAUAUAAAAACCGAUUUUUAAUAGUAGAAAUAGAUAAAAAAAAAUUUAACA